rnacentral:rRNA from 1 species
GAACGCUGGCGGCAGGCCUCAUACAUGCAAGUCGAGCGGUCCUUCGGGACAGCGGCGAACGGGUUAGUAACGCGUGGGAACGUGCCCUUUAGUACGGAAUAGCCAUUGGAAACGAUGAUUAAUACCGUAUACGCCCCAAGGGGGAAAGAUUUAUCGCUAAAGGAUCGGCCCGCGUUAGAUUAGGUAGUUGGUAGGGUAAUGGCCUACCAAGCCGACGAUCUAUAGCUGGUUUGAGAGGAUGAUCAGCAACACUGGGACUGAGACACGGCCCAGACUUCUACGGAAGGCAGCAGUAGGGAAUCUUGGACAAUGGGCGAAAGCCUGAUCCAGCCAUGCCGCGUGAGUGAUGAAGGCCCUAGGGUUGUAAAGCUCUUUCGCCAGGGAAGAUAAUGACGGU